rnacentral:lncRNA from 1 species
CUGGAAUUUCCCUUGAAGGAACUCAAGAUUUUCCUUUAUUUUCAUGCUCGUUGUUGGGGUGGUACUCACAGGCCUCUGUGAGGGGUCCCUGCCCUGUUUGACUUCCCCCAAACUGGAAGCCAAUGUGGAUACCCCUGAUUUAGAUGAUAGUCCGCUUCUGCCACUUCAUUGAGCUUCAUUUACCUGAUCUGCCACAUGCAAAGUGCCAUGGUCUCAGUGGAUUGACUCUGUUUGUGCAGUGCCCGGGAAGCACCUGUCCGGUGGUUACAUCCUUCUACUAUCAACCUGCACUGGUUAUUUUCUCUGCUCCGCCCAUUGUUUUCUCUUCCUUGUAUACCAACAAGCUCCCUUGCUCCUGGUUUCUUUGUAGAUUUGGCUAAUGAGAGACACCAGUAAGAAACUGAGGGCAAGAUGAAAAAGAAGUCCAGGAGGUUUACCCCAGUUCUCCCGACUUUACAGCAUUCUGGCAACAGAUGACCCUCUAAGACCCCUUCUUCCUCCAGUGUUGCUGGGAAUAAACCCUGGUUUCUCCCCUUGCUCCUCCAGACCUAAGAGUAGUAAUGGCU